GACAGAGGGUGCAAACGUUGCUCGGAAUCACUGGGCGUAAAGGGCGUGUAGGCGGUCUGUUAAGUCAGGGGUGAAAUCCUGGAGCUCAACUCCAGAACUGCCCUUGAUACUGGCGGUCUCGAGUCCGGGAGAGGUGAGUGGAACUGCGAGUGUAGAGGUGAAAUUCGUAGAUAUUCGCAAGAACACCAGUGGCGAAGGCGGCUCACUGGCCCGGUACUGACGCUGAGGUGCGAAAGCGUGGGGAGCAAACAGG
rnacentral:rRNA from 1 species